rnacentral:rRNA from 1 species
GGAGUUACAAAGGACGACAUUAGACGAAUCAUCUGGAAAGAUGAAUCAAAGAAGGUAAUAAUCCUGUAGUCGAAAAUGUUGUCUCUCUUGAGUGGAUCCUGAGUACGACGGAGCACGUGAAAUUCCGUCGGAAUCUGGGAGGACCAUCUCCUAAGGCUAAAUACUCUCUAGUGACCGAUAGUGAACCAGUACCGUGAGGGAAAGGUGAAAAGCACCCCGGAAGGGGAGUGAAAUAGAACCUGAAACCGUGUGCUUACAAGUAGUCAGAGCCCGUUAAUGGGUGAUGGCGUGCCUUUUGUAGAAUGAACCGGCGAGUUACGAUUUGAUGCAAGGUUAAGCAGUAAAUGUGGAGCCGUAGCGAAAGCGAGUCUGAAUAGGGCGUUUAGUAUUUGGUCGUAGACCCGAAACCAGGUGAUCUACCCUUGGUCAGGUUGAAGUUCAGGUAACACUGAAUGGAGGACCGAACCGACUUACGUUGAAAAGUGAGCGGAUGAACUGAGGGUAGCGGAGAAAUUCCAAUCGAACCUGGAGAUAGCUGGUUCUCUCCGAAAUAGCUUUAGGGCUAGCCUCAAGUGAUGAUUAUUGGAGGUAGAGCACUGUUUGGACGAGGGGCCCCUCUCGGGUUACCGAAUUCAGACAAACUCCGAAUGCCAAUUAAUUUAACUUGGGAGUCAGAACAUGGGUGAUAAGGUCCGUGUUCGAAAGGGAAACAGCCCAGACCACCAGCUAAGGUCCCAAAAUAUAUGUUAAGUGGAAAAGGAUGUGGCGUUGCCCAGACAACUAGGAUGUUGGCUUAGAAGCAGCCAUCAUUUAAAGAGUGCGUAAUAGCUCACUAGUCGAGUGACACUGCGCCGAAAAUGUACCGGGGCUAAACAUAUUACCGAAGCUGUGGAUUGUCCUUUGGACAAUGGUAGGAGAGCGUUCUAAGGGCGUUGAAGCAUGAUCGUAAGGACAUGUGGAGCGCUUAGAAGUGAGAAUGCCGGUGUGAGUAGCGAAAGACGGGUGAGAAUCCCGUCCACCGAUUGACUAAGGUUUCCAGAGGAAGGCUCGUCCGCUCUGGGUUAGUCGGGUCCUAAGCUGAGGCCGACAGGCGUAGGCGAUGGAUAACAGGUUGAUAUUCCUGUACCACCUAUAAUCGUUUUAAUCGAUGGGGGGACGCAGUAGGAUAGGCGAAGCGUGCGAUUGGAUUGCACGUCUAAGCAGUAAGGCUGAGUAUUAGGCAAAUCCGGUACUCGUUAAGGCUGAGC